CGCACGGGUGCGUAACGCGUGGGAAUCUGCCCUUUGCUUCGGAAUAACAGUUAGAAAUGACUGCUAAUACCGGAUGAUGUCUUCGGACCAAAGAUUUAUCGGCAAGGGAUGAGCCCGCGUAGGAUUAGGUAGUUGGUGGGGUAAAGGCCUACCAAGCCGACGAUCCUUAGCUGGUCUGAGAGGAUGAUCAGCCACACUGGGACUGAGACACGGCCCAGACUCCUACGGGAGGCAGCAGUGGGGAAUAUUGGACAAUGGGCGCAAGCCUGAUCCAGCAAUGCCGCGUGAGUGAUGAAGGCCUUCGGGUCGUAAAGCUCUUUUACCAGGGAUGAUAAUGACAGUACCUGGAGAAUAAGCUCCGGCUAACUCCGUGCCAGCAGCCGCGGUAAUACGGAGGGAGCUAGCGUUGUUCGGAAUUACUGGGCGUAAAGCGCACGUAGGCGGCGACACAAGUCAGAGGUGAAAGCCCGGGGCUCAACCCCGGAACUGCCUUUGAAACUAGGUUGCUAGAAUCUUGGAGAGGUCAGUGGAAUUCCGAGUGUAGAGGUGAAAU
rnacentral:rRNA from 1 species